GGCAUUUAUUAGACUAAUACCAACUGUACUUUUGUGGUUAACGCCUCUAAUUUACAAGGUGAAUCUAGAUAACUUUGCCAAUCGCAUGGCUUCGGGCCGGCGACGUUUCAAUUGAAUUUCUGCCCUAUCAACUUGUUGGUAAGGUAGAUGCUUACCAAGGUGGCGACGGGUAACGGGGGAUCAGGGUUCGAUUCCGGAGAGGGAGCCUGAGAAAUGGCUACCACAUCCAAGGACGGCAGCAGGCGCGCAAAUUACCCAAUCCAGACAAUGGGAGGUGGUGACGAGAAAUACUACUCAGUGUCUCAGAAGGACCCUGAUCUGGAAUGGACGCAAUUUAAUCAAUUCGAUGAGUAACAACUGGAGGGCAAGUCUACUGCCAGCAGCCGCGGUAAUUCUAGGUNCAGUGGUGUAUUUUAAUGUUGCUGCGUUUAAAACGGUCGUAGUUGGAUUACGCAGUGUGAGUUGGUCAAUUAGCAGAGCUUCACAUUCAAACCGAGGCGUUGUGGCUAUGAACCGGGUUUCCUUGAACGUGACGCAGCGUUUUGGUGUGUUGCAUGUUGAUUAUCAGCCGGCCCACACUACUUGUACGUGAGGAUGGCGGUUGACCUUUAGUGCGUUGACUGAUCGUGUCUCACGGAGUGUGCCUUGAAUAAAUCAGAGUGCUCCAAGCAGGCUUACGCUUGAAUGUUAAUAGCAUGGGACGAACAAUUGUGUUAUACGUGUCUGUGUCUGCAGUUGGAUGGAUUUAUUUUGUCCAGUUGUAGGUGCAGUUCACAUCACCAACCGCCAAUAACGGAUGUUGGUUUCCGUAUUGGGGUGAUGAUUAAAAGGAGCGAUUGGGGGCAUUGGUAUUU
rnacentral:rRNA from 1 species